UUGCUGGGUGGAUUAGUGGCGAACGGGUGAGUAACACGUGAGUAACCUGCCCCUGACUCUGGGAUAAGCGUUGGAAACGACGUCUAAUACUGGAUAUGAUCACUGGCCGCAUGGUCUGGUGGUGGAAAGAUUUUUUGGUUGGGGAUGGACUCGCGGCCUAUCAGCUUGUUGGUGAGGUAAUGGCUCACCAAGGCGACGACGGGUAGCCGGCCUGAGAGGGUGACCGGCCACACUGGGACUGAGACACGGCCCAGACUCCUACGGGAGGCAGCAGUGGGGAAUAUUGCACAAUGGGCGAAAGCCUGAUGCAGCAACGCCGCGUGAGGGAUGACGGCCUUCGGGUUGUAAACCUCUUUUAGUAGGGAAGAAGCGAAAGUGACGGUACCUGCAGAAAAAGCACCGGCUAACUACGUGCCAGCAGCCGCGGUAAUACGUAGGGUGCAAGCGUUGUCCGGAAUUAUUGGGCGUAAAGAGCUCGUAGGCGGUUUGUCGCGUCUGCUGUGAAAUCCCGAGGCUCAACCUCGGGCUUGCAGUGGGUACGGGCAGACUAGAGUGCGGUAGGGGAGAUUGGAAUUCCUGGUGUAGCGGUGGAAUGCGCAGAUAUCAGGAGGAACACCGAUGGCGAAGGCAGAUCUCUGGGCCGUAACUGACGCUGAGGAGCGAAAGCAUGGGGAGCGAACAGGAUUAGAUACCCUGGUAGUCCAUGCCGUAAACGUUGGGCGCUAGAUGUAGGGACCUUUCCACGGUUUCUGUGUCGUAGCUAACGCAUUAAGCGCCCCGCCUGGGGAGUACGGCCGCAAGGCUAAAACUCAAAGGAAUUGACGGGGGCCCGCACAAGCGGCGGAGCAUGCGGAUUAAUUCGAUGCAACGCGAAGAACCUUACCAAGGCUUGACAUACACCGGAAACGGCCAGAGAUGGUCGCCCCCUUGUGGUCGGUGUACAGGUGGUGCAUGGUUGUCGUCAGCUCGUGUCGUGAGAUGUUGGGUUAAGUCCCGCAACGAGCGCAACCCUCGUUCUAUGUUGCCAGCGGGUUAUGCCGGGGACUCAUAGGAGACUGCCGGGGUCAACUCGGAGGAAGGUGGGGAUGACGUCAAAUCAUCAUGCCCCUUAUGUCUUGGGCUUCACGCAUGCUACAAUGGCCGGUACAAAGGGCUGCGAUACCGUAAGGUGGAGCGAAUCCCAAAAAGCCGGUCUCAGUUCGGAUUGAGGUCUGCAACUCGACCUCAUGAAGUCGGAGUCGCUAGUAAUCGCAGAUCAGCAACGCUGCGGUGAAUACGUUCCCGGGCCUUGUACACACCGCCCGUCAAGUCAUGAAAGUCGGUAA
rnacentral:rRNA from 1 species